GAUGAACGCUGGCGGCGUGCCUAAUACAUGCAAGUCGAGCGAACAGACGAGGAGCUUGCUCCUCUGACGUUAGCGGCGGACGGGUGAGUAACACGUGGAUAACCUACCUAUAAGACUGGGAUAACUUCGGGAAAUCGGAGCUAAUACCGGAUAAUAUAUUGAACCGCAUGGUUCAAUAGUGAAAGACGGUUUUGCUGUCACUUAUAGAUGGAUCCGCGCCGCAUUAGCUAGUUGGUAAGGUAACGGCUUACCAAGGCAACGAUGCGUAGCCGACCUGAGAGGGUGAUCGGCCACACUGGAACUGAGACACGGUCCAGACUCCUACGGGAGGCAGCAGUAGGGAAUCUUCCGCAAUGGGCGAAAGCCUGGCGGAGCAACGCCGCGUGAGUGAUGAAGGUCUUCGGAUCGUAAAACUCUGUUAUUAGGGAAGAACAAAUGUGUAAGUAACUAUGCACGUCUUGACGGUACCUAAUCAGAAAGCCACGGCUAACUACGUG
rnacentral:rRNA from 1 species